AGAGAGUGAUCAGCUACAGAUGGACAUCAGUACAAUACAACAAGAGCAUGAUCAACUGCAGACGGAGAUAAGCAGAAUACAACAAGAACAUGCUCGACUACAGGAGGAGAAGAACAAAAUACAACAAGAACAUGAUCAGUAUGUAAAGAAGAUGAAAGAAGGAUCCUUUUUGUCUCGCUUGUUUUCAAAGGGAAAAUAAUAGGAUGAAAAAAAGAGUGUUUUUCACAGUGAGAUGCAGGUGAAGGAGAGCACAUGGAGCCUUAGAGGCUGGUUUUAGAUUAAGAGGACCUCUUUUUAUGUGAAGUUCAUGUCUCAUAUCUACAAUUACAUUCAUCAGUCUUUUCAAAAGUCUCUGUUAUCAAUUCGACGAUAGUCACUAGAAGUUAAGUGUCUCCAACAAAGCAAACCAGAGGCGACAGCGGCAAGGAAACAAAACCCCAUCCAUACAGAAUGGAGAAAAAAUGGAGAA